rnacentral:rRNA from 1 species
GAGUUUGAUCAUGGCUCAGAUUGAACGCUGGCGGCAGGCCUAACACAUGCAAGUCGAGCGGUAGAGAGAAGCUUGCUUCUCUUGAGAGCGGCGGACGGGUGAGUAAUGCCUAGGAAUCUGCCUGGUAGUGGGGGAUAACGCUCGGAAACGGACGCUAAUACCGCAUACGUCCUACGGGAGAAAGCAGGGGACCUUCGGGCCUUGCGCUAUCAGAUGAGCCUAGGUCGGAUUAGCUAGUUGGUGAGGUAAUGGCUCACCAAGGCGACGAUCCGUAACUGGUCUGAGAGGAUGAUCAGUCACACUGGAACUGAGACACGGUCCAGACUCCUACGGGAGGCAGCAGUGGGGAAUAUUGGACAAUGGGCGAAAGCCUGAUCCAGCCAUGCCGCGUGUGUGAAGAAGGUCUUCGGAUUGUAAAGCACUUUAAGUUGGGAGGAAGGCAGUAAAUUAAUACUUUGCUGUUUGACGUUACCGACUAGAAUAAGCACCGGCUAACUCUGUGCCAGCCC